rnacentral:rRNA from 1 species
GUGUCAGCCGCCGCGGUAAGACGAACCGUGCGAACGUUGUUCGGAAUCACUGGGCAUAAAGGGCGCGUAGGCGGGCUACCAAGUCUGUGGUGAAAUCCCCCGGCUCAACCGGGGAACUGCCGUGGAUACUGGGAGCCUCGAGGGAGAUAGGGGCGUGCGGAACUGAUGGUGGAGCGGUGAAAUGCGUUGAUAUCAUCAGGAACUCCGGUGGCGAAGGCGGCACGCUGGAUCUCAUCUGACGCUGAGGCGCGAAAGCCAGGGGAGCAAACGGGAUUAGAAACCCUCGUAGUCC